rnacentral:lncRNA from 1 species
UUAUAUAUAAUAAAUAAAAAAAUUUUUUUAAAGCUUAUUGGUAGAAUAUGUGCUUAGUAUGUGCAAGGUGUAACCUUAAUGUUGUGAAUCUAUAGGAACUGGUUUACCUAGUAGUAGACAUACGAACUCUUUCCUCAGUUACUCAUUCUGGUAACCCAGAUUUGCCUCAUUCAAUCUUCCUGCUUCACAUACCUCAUUGUAAUUUAUACCUGUGAGACAUUGCAGCUAGUUUUUAUUUUAAACGGUUCCCCCACCCCCACCCCCUCCCUUCUCCAUUUUGCUUUGAGCCCUAAACAGUCUUCCUACAUAGCCCUGGCUGUCCUGGAAAUAACUAAUCCAUGCUAUUUUCAGAUUCCCAGAGAUUUUGCUUCCUUAAAAAAGCCUUGGUUAGUCACACCCAGCCCAAGCUUGUAUUUUGAAACUAGGUUGAACGUAUUAAAAUUAUAAAAAAGAAAGAAAAAGGACGUGAUUGAUUGUUUUUAUUGUAGAUAAAAGAGGAGAGUACAGAAUCUGACCAUUAGAUGGGCCAUGUAAGUGAAAGAGAGGGGAAAAGAGUAAAGGAUAGAAAAGGCCCAGGUAAACAAAAUGUCUGGAGUAUGUAGGGAAAGGCUGCUUCUGGGUGGGAAAAGUUUGGGUAGUGAAUGGCCAGCCGCAGCUGUACCAGGUCAGAACCAAGGGAUGCAGUGAGAACUUGUUGGUCAGAAAUAGGCACCUGGAUUUGAGACUCUAUGAGAGAGGGGGAUUUAAAAAAAGUUACUGUCCCCAUUAAUGUAUGAUGUCCAGUAAACUGUGUUUCUGAUAUUUAGGUGGUGGUUUUGUCAAGCUAGGUCAGGGUAAGGCUGCUUCUUCUUUUUUUUUUUUUAAACUAAAUGGUUUAGUUAGUAACAUUUAGAACUAUAUUCUUUCUCAUGCCUGGCAAAAAAAGACUUCAUAAUGUAUUUUAUGUUUUGUGUGUGUUUAGCUGGCCUUGAACUCAGAGGUCAGUCUGCUUCUGCCUCCCAGGUGUUGGGAUUAAAGGUGUGCUUCAUUACUGCCAGGCUUGCUUUGUGACAUUUUUAAAGCUGGUAUUUCUUUUAAAAAUUUGUGAUUGUGAAUGCAGGUUUCUGCUUAGGCCAGAAGAAGAUCAGUUGACUCCCUGGAGCUGAAAACUGAACUUUGAUCAUGGAAAAGCAGCAUAUACUUUAAAAAAUUGUUUUCUUGUUUUUAUGUUUGUUUUUUGAGAUAGAGAUUCUCUGUAGACCAGGUUGGACUCAAACUCCCAGAUCAACCUUCCCCUGCUUCCUGAGUGCUAAGAUUAAAGCCAUGUUCCACCAUUGCUCUUCCCAUUGCAACAUUUGAAAGAUGACUAGUGCUACCAUUUGUUAUCCCCUCCUUUUCCUUCUCUUUCUCUUUAACAUGUGACCUUGGGAAUGUCUGGAGAUCCAAAUAACCCUCUACCUCUGGGAUUAAAGAUGUAUGUUAACAUAGGCCAAUAAUUUAGGCUUGUUAUUAACAAAACUAAACUUGAUCUUCUGGCCUCUAUUAGUAGAAUAAAGGUUCAUAGGAGACAACAUACAAAGAAAACAGCCAGAGAGUGAUGCAAGUCAAUGGGGAAUGUUCAACAAAGGAAAUUUAAGGACAUCAGAGUAAAAUAAGUGAAAUAUUAAUUCAGAUAUUGAUGGCUGCCAGUAAAUGAAAUUGCUUAUAUUCAAGAGUCUUAAAAAACAGGAAGAUGUAAAAAAGACCACUUAAAUACAUUUUCUUUAUAAAAUUAAUUUAUUGAUGUAUAAUUAGUGUCACUCAUUGAGGCUUUGGGGUUUGCAGGGGAUCCAGAUUUGAUUUCCAGCACCCAUACAUAAUCCCAGUUCCAGGGAAAUUGUAUGAAUCUUCUGACCUCAGGCAGUGGCACAAAGGAGAGUGUAAAACAUAUACAUACAUACAUACAUACAUAUAUAUGCAUACUGAUAAAAAUAUUAAAAUAUUUCCCAAGGAAAGAGAAUACUACCAUUUUUUGAGGGCAAAAUUGGCCAGCAUAGAAUUAAAUAGCAGCCAGGCCAAUAGGACAUUAGAUAGUAAAGGAGUUUUUGUCUAAUGUAAUAUAGGCUAGUUUAGGUUGUAAGGGUAAUCUGCUCAAAUUGCUUAAGGUGGCUUGACAUGCUAAGCAAUGCUGAUUGCCAUAACUGAUUUCUAUCACUAAUGAUUAACCUAUGUGAUCAAAGCAGAGAAUUGUAUUGAAUGCCAAAUAGAAAAAGACUUGUAUUUUUUGUAUUUUAUCGCAUAUAUUACUACGUACAUAAACUGAGAAUGUAGAUAAUGCUGACCUUGAACUGUCAUACCCAUGUGCCACCUGAGUGUUGGUAUUUAAGACUUGUCUCAACAACCACACUCUCUAUACCUAGGAAGAUUUUUUUAUAUAUAUAUAUUUUUUUUUCUUUUUCUUUUUUUCCCCGAGACAGGGUUUUUUUAUAUAGUCCUGGCUGUCCUGGAACUCACUUUGUAGACCAGGCUGGCCUCGAACUCAGAAAUCUACCUGCCUCUGCCACCCGAGUGCUGGGAUUAAAGGUGUGUGCCACCACGAUGGACUUGAACCUACCUUUGUUUUAGGGGUGGAGGUAGUGCUUUUAAGACCUAUGAGCCUGUCUCCUAUUAUUUAAAUGUACUCUCAGCCAUUAGUUUUCAGUGAAGAUUAAUCACAAAUCAAUGUGUUUUUCCCAUUUUGUAGAAGCAAGAUGUUGCUAGGGUGUCAUCUUCAGCAGCUUACCCCCAUAGUUUUGAGGCAGUCUUGAAGUAGACCUGGAACUCCAGGACUCAGGCCAUCACAUUUUUCGCCCCCUUUAAUGUGAACAGUGGGGAUUGAACUUUAGUCCUGAUAGGUCUUGGUUCUUCUAUGGUGAACUGAACCCCAUUGUCCCUAGGUGACUAGCUUUUGUGAACUUAAUGUAUAUCCUGUUAAUUUUUUAUGUACUGGUGGCUUUAUUUACUGUUAGAGUACUAAUCCAAGGGUUUUUUUGGGGUGGGGCACAGGUAAGUGCUUCACCACUUAACAUCUCCAGGUCACAUUUUAUAUGUAUUGCUUAAAUGUCUUCCAGGACAGCCAGGGUUAUACAGAGAAACCCUGUCUGGAAUAA